rnacentral:rRNA from 1 species
CCUACGGGAGGCAGCAGUGAGGAAUAUUGGUCAAUGGACGAGAGUCUGAACCAGCCAAGUAGCGUGAAGGAUGACUGCCCUAUGGGUUGUAAACUUCUUUUAUAUGGGAAUAAAAUGUUCCACGUGUGGGAUUUUGUAUGUACCAUAUGAAUAAGGAUCGGCUAACUCCUUGCCAGCAGCCGCGGUAAUACGGAGGCUCCGAGCGUUAUCCGGAUUUAUUGGGUUUAAAGGGUGCGUAGGUGGAUUGUUAAGGCAGUUGUGAAAGUUUGCGGCUCAACCGUAAAAUUGCAGUCGAAACUGGCAGUCUUGAGUACAGUAGAGGUAGGCGGAAUUCGUGGUGUAGCGGUGAAAUGCUUAGAUAUCACGAAGAACUCCGAUUGCGAAGGCAGUUCACUGGACUGCAACUGACACUGAGGCUCGAAAGUGUGGGUAUCAAACAGGAUUAGAUACCCGAGUAGUC